GAGCUGGCGGCAUGCCUAUACAUGCAGUCGAGCGGUAUGACGAGAGCUUGCUCUCUGAUUUUAGCGGCGGACGGGUGAGUAACACGUGGGCAACCUGCCCUACAGAUGGGGAUAACUCCGGGAAACCGGGGCUAAUACCGAAUAAUCAGUUUGUCCGCAUGGACAAACUCUGAAAGACGGUUUCGGCUGUCACUGUAGGAUGGGCCCGCGGCGCAUUAGCUAGUUGGUGGGGUAAUGGCCUACCAAGGCAACGAUGCGUAGCCGACCUGAGAGGGUGAUCGGCCACACUGGGACUGAGACACGGCCCAGACUCCUACGGGAGGCAGCAGUAGGGAAUCUUCCACAAUGGACGAAAGUCUGAUGGAGCAAUGCCGCGUGAGCGAAGAAGGUUUUCGGAUCGUAAAGCUCUGUUGUAAGGGAAGAACACGUACGGGAGUAACUGCCCGUGCCAUGACGGUACCUUAUUAGAAAGCCACGGCUAACUACGUGCCAGCAGCCGCGGUAAU
rnacentral:rRNA from 1 species